GGAAGGUCUCCGUCAUAUACCAGCACCUCCAGGAAGUUUUUGAUGUCCAAUGAACAAGGGAGCCUGCUGGCAUGAAGGAGGCCUGGCAGAAGCAGUUUAGGAGAACAGGCGCUCAAGAACAGGAGCCAAGAAGAGAUCUCGUUGACAAUCCCAAGCCCCAGGCUUGCAUCUUGCCUUUGGAGAAGAGUGAGCUUGGUGACAGAUCUUCAGCACCUGCAUCCCUCUGAGGCAAAAUUAUGGAAAUACGUUCACUGAAAAGCAGGCACUGGAAUGCCCAUAGCAGUGUCAUCCCUAAUAGCCCCAGACAGAUG